rnacentral:rRNA from 1 species
GUAGGGGUGACCUGCGGAGGGAUCAUUACCGAGUWAYMSAMMUCCCAACCCCUGUGAAUUAUACCUUUAAUUGUUGCUUCGGCGGGACUUCGCGCCCGCCGGGGACCCAAACCUUCUGAAUUUUUUAAUAAGUAUCUUCUGAGUGGUUAAAAAAAAAAUGAAUCAAAACUUUCAACAACGGAUCUCUUGGUUCUGGCAUCGAUGAAGAACGCAGCGAAAUGCGAUAAGUAAUGUGAAUUGCAGAAUUCAGUGAAUCAUCGAAUCUUUGAACGCACAUUGCGCCCGUCAGUAUUCUGGCGGGCAUGCCUGUUCGAGCGUCAUUACGCCCCUCAAGUCCCCUGUGGACUUGGUGUUGGGGAUCGGCGAGGCUGGUUUUCCAGCACAGCCGUCCCUUAAAUUAAUUGGCGGUCUCGCCGUGGCCCUCCUCUGCGCAGUAGUAAAGCACUCGCAACAGGAGCCCGGCGCGGUCCACUGCCGUAAAACCCCCCAACUUUUUAUAGUUGACCUCGAAUCAKGUAKGAYUASCMGCWGRWCUUAAGCAUAUCAAUAAGCCGGAGAGAA